CAGCCGCCGCGGUAAUACGAAGGGGGCUAGCGUUGCUCGGAAUUACUGGGCGUAAAGGGCGCGUAGGCGGCGCUCCAAGUUAGGCGUGAAAUUCCCGGGCUCAACCUGGGGACUGCGCUUAAGACUGGAGUGCUUGAGGAUGGAAGAGGGUUGUGGAAUUCCCAGUGUAGAGGUGAAAUUCGUAGAUAUUGGGAAGAACACCGGUGGCGAAGGCGGCAACCUGGUCCAUUACUGACGCUGAGGCGCGAUAGCGUGGGGAGCAAACAGGAUUAGAUACCCCUGUAGUCCCUGUCUCUUAUAC
rnacentral:rRNA from 1 species